rnacentral:rRNA from 1 species
CCUACGGGAGGCAGCAGUGGGGAAUAUUGCACAAUGGGCGAAAGCCUGAUGCAGCAACGCCGCGUGAAGGAAGACGGUUUUCGGAUUGUAAACUUCUGUUCUUAGUGAAGAAUAAUGACGGUAACUAAGGAGCAAGCCACGGCUAACUACGUGCCAGCAGCCGCGGUAAUACGUAGGUGGCAAGCGUUGUCCGGAAUUACUGGGUGUAAAGGGAGCGUAGGCGGGAAGCCAAGUCAGCUGUGAAAACUACGGGCUUAACCUGUAGACUGCAGUUGAAACUGAUGUUCUUGAGUGGGCGAGAAGUAUGCGGAAUGCGUGGUGUAGCGGUGAAAUGCAUAGAUAUCACGCAGAACUCCGAUUGCGAAGGCAGCAUACCGGCGCCCAACUGACGCUGAAGCACGAAAGCGUGGGUAUCGAACAGGAUUAGAUACCCGGGUAGUC